CUUUCUCUGUUUUUCUCUGUGACGGUGUAGAGGGGUUUGUCAGAACGACUGUAGUUAUAGAGAAAGUCACUUGUCUGUGGGAACAGAAUGGAGCACACCUUGUUCUGUUUGCUACUAUUGCUGAGUACACACAUCUACUCUGGACACUCUGAUGAUGACGAUGGACCGGCAAAGGCUGUUCUGACCAUACAACCCAAAUCCUCCCAGAUAUUCAGUGGAGAAUCUGUCACUUUCAGAUGCAACAUACAGAGGGGAGACGUCACACACUGGAAAUACACAUGGAGCAAGGAUGAUGUAGACUUACCCACUCGGAAGCAUAAAUAUGAGAUCAGUGAGGUUAAGAUUUCAGACAGUGCAGCCUACAGGUGUCUGGGUACACAUAUUGAUCAGAAGAAGCAUCCUAAGUGGAGUGAUAUAGUCAGACUGACAGUGACAGCCCUGCCCAAAGCUACACUCAACAUAACACCAAACCCUGCAUACACUGGAGAGACAGUAACUCUGACGUGUUCAGUGGGGUCUGACAGAGGCUGGAGCUACACAUGGUACAAAGGCAACACUAAGAAAGUAGUGACAUUGUCUGGCAGACACUCUACAACAGGAGCCACCUUCACCAUCAGUAGAGCUGCUGAUUCUGACCAGGGUCUCUACUGGUGUCAGGGAGCGAUCCAGUCCAGAUCCAUAUCAUCAAUCAUCAGUGAUCCUGUCACUAUCACUGUGAAAGAGAGACCUGCGGCUGUUCUGACCCUCCAACCCAACUGGCCCCAGAUUUUCAGUGGAGAGACUGUCACUCUCAGAUGUGACAUACAGGGGGGAGAAGAGAUUGAGUAUGCUUUUUAUAACAGUGGGAAGUUGGUCUCCACCAAAACAGAGCCUGAGUACAGAAUCGAUCCUGCAAAGAAUGGUCUAUAUACCUGUGAAGGUCUUCAGAAAAGAAAUGGCUUAAAACACUCCCAGACAAGUAAUGUUAUACAAUUAACUGUGUUAGAUCAACCCCAAGCUGUCCUGAGUGUCUCUCCUCAGUGGCUGGACCCUGGAGACUCAGUUACUCUGAGCUGUUGGGUUAAAGAGUCAUCUACAGGCUGGAGGUUCUUCUGGUACCGAACUGUUCCCUACACAGCUAGGUUACUCUCCCUGUCAGAUAGGUCCUACUCUGUAGAGCCUCUAUCUGGCAAUGGGACUAGUGAAGACUCCUACACUCUGAUCCCUACUGGUCCUAGUCACACAGGAGGAUAUGUGUGUAGAGCUGAAAGAGGAGACCCAGUUUAUGACACACUCUACAGUAAACCUCAGUUUCUCUGGUCAGGAGAGCCGCAACCUUCAGUGUCUCUCAAAAUGAGACCUAACAGAAAUCAACACUUUAAUUCUAAGUCUCUCUCACUAAGCUGUGAGGAGAAGGGGAACUCUACUGGAUGGAAACUGAAGAGAUACAGAGAGAAAGCAGUGGAUUCAGAGUGUGGCUCUAACUGGGGAUCAAUAGCAGGAUCCAAAUGUACCAUAAUGUUAACAUUCUCAUGGGACAGUGGAGUGUACUGGUGUGAGUCUGGAUCAGGAGAGUACAGUAAUGCUGUCAACAUCACAGUGGUUGUUGGCCCUCUGAUCCUGGAGAGCCCUGCCUAUCCCAUAACUGAGGGAGACUCUGUGACUCUGCGCUGUACAAAUAGAUAUCAGGAAACAAACCCAAUACCGAAGGUUGAUUUCUACAAAGAUGGAGUACUCAUCAGGAAUGAGACCACAGGAGAAAUGACCAUCCCUGUAGUAUCCAAGUCAGAUGAAGGCUCCUAUAAGUGUACAUUUAAUGAAGAAGAAUCACCAAAGAGCAUGGUGAGAGUGAGAGGCGUAACUCCUGGACCCUCUACAUCAGUCCUAGUAGGAGUGGUUGUGGGCCUGGUUGUUGCUGGUGUUCUAUUGACCAUUCUCCUGGUACUGCUGUGUCGAUAUAAAAAUGCCAAAGAUUCCUGUUGCAACAGGACAUUCUCGCUUCCCCAGCCCCAGAGCACCAACCAACAGGACCAAGAAUCUACCCAGGGACGGGCUCCUGAUCCUGGGUAUACACUUUUGCAGCAUGGUAUCUACGAUACAAUCACUCCCUCAGACAAUAAUGACAAUGAUCAACCCCAAGCUGUCCUGAGUGUCUCUCCUCAGUGGCUGGACCCUGGAGACUCAGUUACUCUGAGCUGUUGGGUUAAAGAGUCAUCUACAGGCUGGAGGUUCUUCUGGUACCGAACUGUUCCCUACACAGCUAGGUUACUCUCCCUGUCAGAUAGGUCCUACUCUGUAGAGCCUCUAUCUGGCAAUGGGACUAGUGAAGACUCCUACACUCUGAUCCCUACUGGUCCUAGUCACACAGGAGGAUAUGUGUGUAGAGCUGAAAGAGGAGACCCAGUUUAUGACACACUCUACAGUAAACCUCAGUUUCUCUGGUCAGGAGAGCCGCAACCUUCAGUGUCUCUCAAAAUGAGACCUAACAGAAAUCAACACUUUAAUUCUAAGUCUCUCUCACUAAGCUGUGAGGAGAAGGGGAACUCUACUGGAUGGAAACUGAAGAGAUACAGAGAGAAAGCAGUGGAUUCAGAGUGUGGCUCUAACUGGGGAUCAAUAGCAGGAUCCAAAUGUACCAUAAUGUUAACAUUCUCAUGGGACAGUGGAGUGUACUGGUGUGAGUCUGGAUCAGGAGAGUACAGUAAUGCUGUCAACAUCACAGUGGUUGUUGGCCCUCUGAUCCUGGAGAGCCCUGCCUAUCCCAUAACUGAGGGAGACUCUGUGACUCUGCGCUGUACAAAUAGAUAUCAGGAAACAAACCCAAUACCGAAGGUUGAUUUCUACAAAGAUGGAGUACUCAUCAGGAAUGAGACCACAGGAGAAAUGACCAUCCCUGUAGUAUCCAAGUCAGAUGAAGGCUCCUAUAAGUGUACAUUUAAUGAAGAAGAAUCACCAAAGAGCAUGGUGAGAGUGAGAGGCGUAACUCCUGGACCCUCUACAUCAGUCCUAGUAGGAGUGGUUGUGGGCCUGGUUGUUGCUGGUGUUCUAUUGACCAUUCUCCUGGUACUGCUGUGUCGAUAUAAAAAUGCCAAAGAUUCCUGUUGCAACAGGACAUUCUCGCUUCCCCAGCCCCAGAGCACCACCAACAGGACCAAGAAUCUACCCAGGGACGGGCUCCUGAUCCUGGGUAUACACUUUUGCAGCAUGGUAUCUACGAUACAAUCACUCCCUCAGACAAUAAUGACAAUGAUGCUGGUGCUGGUGCUGCUGGACCAAGUGAUGUGAUGUACGCCCAGAUUCAACUCAAAGAGUUGGACAAGAAAAAUAAAAAAAUGCCAGCUGAUCCAAACGAAAAUCCAGUCUAUUCUGAGGUCAAGACAGGGAAGGUCACGGCUUAAACAGAAGGCCAAAGCCAAAGAAGAAAGGUAAGACUAGACAUCCCUCCAUAUUUCCCCUCACUCCUCUUUUUAUUUUACCUUUAUUUAACUAGGCAAGUCAGUUAAGAACAAACUCUAGUUUGAGGGUUAACUGCCUUGUUCAGGGGCAGAACAACAGAUUUGUACCUUGUCAGCUUAGUCCAACUCUCUAACCACCAGCUGUAUAUUAUUCUGUAUAUUCACUGGUUAUAUAUAUUUGUUUUGUAUUUUCACCCCUUUUUUCUCCCCAAUUUCAUGAUAUCCAAUUGGUAGUUAGUCUUGUCUCAUUGCUGCAACUCCUGUACGGCCUCAAGAGAGGCAAAGGUCAAGAGCCAUGCGUCCUCCGAAACACAACCUAACCAAGCUGCACUGCUUCUUGACACAAUGCCCAUCCAACCCGGAAGCCAGCCGCACCAAUGUGUCGGAGGAAACACCGUACACCUGGCGCCCGUGUCAGCAUGCACUGCACCUGGCCCGCCACAGGAGUCGCUAGUGCGCGAUGAGACAAGGAUAUCCCUGCCGGCCAAACCCUCCCCUAACGAUGCUGGGCCAUUUGUGCACCGCCCCAUGGGCCUCCCGGUCGCGGCCGGCUGCAACAGAGCCUGGACUCGAACCCAGAGUCUCUAGUGGCACAGCUAGUGCCUUAGACCACUGAGCCACUUGGUAGGCCUGGUUAUAUUAUUCUAAUGUGUUAUCCUUACCCCUUAUAGAAACUGCAAAUCCACCUGAGGCAGAUUUGGUCUAUUCUCAAGUGAAGCCAGGCACAUCCACAGAUAAGACAAAUUAUAGUCGUAUGCUAUUGAUAUUUAAUAUGAUACUAAUAUGGAACUAAUUCUUCAAUGUCAAAGUAUACUUAAUCUAUUGUUAGGUUCUGGACAAACUGUAGUAAAAACUCAGACGGACAACUAGAAAAAGCUCAAACCAAGUUUAUUCCCCCUCUGGGUCAUACAUCUGCAAAGACAAGGCAUGAAUACACAAGCACAUAUAUUUAUAACUUUGCACUAGGUGAGGUCAACUCCUUACAAAUCUAGACAACCAAUACAUCUCCGUUGCUAGGCAGGGAUUUAAUUGGUACCUCUCACUGGUGUAGUCAGACCUGCCUGAUACUAAAACAUUUGUGGGCAUGGAAGUGUAUGUGUGAGAUAGGACUGUAGGACUGUAGUAGACGAGUCAUUGUGGUGGGCCUCUCUGGUCUCCCUCCCAGAGGUUUCUUCUCACUUCAUCUGUUGAUUUGACCUCAAGACGCAUUCUUCACUCCUCCUUAGUUCCGCAGCUGGCCUGCCUUAUCAGUGAUUAACUGUUGCCCUUCACCUCCCUCCUUAGAAAAAUGGAACAGAAUAUUAACAUUCUACACUCAGUAACUUUCCACACACCUAGUUCCAAUCUACCCUUCAUUGGCCCCAACAUAUACAUUCCUUAUACAUGUGAAGUAAUCAAUCGAUUCUAGAAUGAUAACAUGAAUAAGUAUAUUUCAAGCUAGAUUUCAACACUACUUAAAGGACGUCUAUUUGUUUGAUUCUUAAGAGUUUGUUUGACUGCCUGUCCUAAACUACUUUGUGUGGUGAAAUGUUGCAGGUCCUUGAGGGAUGGAGGGAUGGAGGGAUGGAGGGACACACGCAAACACACGCACGCACGCACACACACACAAUAACACCUUGUACAUUAAGGAUUUUUUUCUUAUUUUAUUUAUCAACAGAUAUAUUGUAUGUAAGCAUGGUUUGAUUGUGUAUUAUUGUAACAGCUUUUUAUUAUAAGGUGUAAUGAUGAUGGAUCUUAUCUGCAGCUACAGUAAUUGUAUCUGCUUUGUGUUGUGUAUUGAAUUGUACUGUAUUGUUGUAAAUGUAUUACAAUGGUUAUCUUUGAUUUAUUAUGUCUGUUAUUCAGAUGAUAGAACAACAUAUUUGCAUAUGAAUUUCCAAAAUAUUAUAAGUAUUAUUCAUGUUUUCUUCUAAUGGCCUGUACUUUUACAUUAUCUUUGCAUUAUGCUUUUUCGAAACUUUUUUUUAUCCACCUGAUGGAAUGAGUGCUUUCUUACAGUAAAUGGAUGUUGUCAUUGUAAAUGUUUCCAUAAAACCUAAUUUGGUCAAACCUCCUUUCAGCCUAGUAUAGAUCUUAGGCUCCCAAAUGUUUGAGUUAAAGGGCUUCUUGUGACUACCCAUCCCGAAUCCGGGAGCGUAAUCAUCGCCCGACACUAAUUAGCAUAACGCAACGGACAUAAAUAUCCCUAGAAAAUAUUCUUAUUCAUGAAAAUCACAAAU